rnacentral:sRNA from 1 species
GAAGUAUCUCCGUCAAGAAGAAGAAAAAUGUCCCCCUUGAGGUCAUUAGAACAUGAGGAAACCAAUAUGCCUACUAUGCACGACCUUGUUCAUAUUAUUUAUGACCAGUCUCAAUAUAUUCAUCAUUUAGAGGCAGAAGUUAAGUUCUGCAAGGAGGAACUCUCUGGAAUGAAAAAUAAAAUACAAGUAGUUGUGCUUGAAAACGAAAGGCUCCAGCAAGAGCUGAAAUCUCAAAGACAAGAGGAGACACUGAGGGAACAAACAGUUCUGGAAGCAUCUGGAAACAUGCAGAAUUCUUGGAUUACAACAGGUGAAGAUUCUGGGGUGGGCGAAACCUCCAAAAGACCAUUUUCCCAUGACAAUGCAGAUAUUGGCAAAGCUGCAUCUGCUGGUGAGCAGCUAGAACUGGAGAAGCUAAAACUUACUUAUGAGGAAAAGUGUGAAAUUCAGGAAUCCCAACUGAAGUUUUUGAGAAAUAAGAAUCACGGCCGGGCGCGGUGGCUCACGCCUGUAAUCCCAGCACUUUGGGAGGCUGAAGCGGGCGAAUCA